rnacentral:rRNA from 1 species
GACGUAGGGGGCAAGCGUUGUCCGGAUUUAUUGGGCGUAAAGAGCUCGUAGGCGGUCUGUCGCGUCGGCUGUGAAAUCCCGGAGCUCAACUCCGGGCCUGCAGUCGAUACGGGCAGACUGGAGUUCGGCAGGGGAGACUGGAAUUCCUGGUGUAGCGGUGAAAUGCGCAGAUAUCAGGAGGAACACCGGUGGCGAAGGCGGGUCUCUGGGCCGAUACUGACGCUGAGGAGCGAAAGCGUGGGGAGCGAACAGG